AGAGUUUGAUCAUGGCUCAGAUUGAACGCUGGCGGCAUGCCUAACACAUGCAAGUCGAACGAGAGCGGGGCAACUCGCUCUAGUGGCGGACGGGUGAGCAAUACGUAGGAACCUGCCCUGAAGUGGGGGAUAGCCCGGCGAAAGCCGGAUUAAUACCGCAUGAUCUCGAAAGAGCAAAGUGGGGGAUCGCAAGACCUCACGCUUUUGGAGGGGCCUACGUCGGAUUAGCUAGUUGGUGGGGUAACGGCCCACCAAGGCGACGAUCCGUAGCUGGUCUGAGAGGAUGAUCAGCCACACCGGAACUGAGACACGGUCCGGACUCCUACGGGAGGCAGCAGUGGGGAAUAUUGGACAAUGGGCGCAAGCCUGAUCCAGCAAUGCCGCGUGUGUGAAGAAGGCCUUCGGGUUGUAAAGCACUUUGGUCCGGGAAGAAAAAGCUCGGCCUAAUACGCCGAGCCUGGACGGUACCGGAGGAACAAGCACCG
rnacentral:rRNA from 1 species